GAUUCCCCUAGUAACUGCGAGUGAAGAGGGAAGAGCUCAAAUUUAAAAUCUGGCSGUCUCUGGCUGUCCGAGUUGUAAAUUAGAGAAGUGUUAUCCGCUCAAGCCUGUGCAAAAGUCUCUUGGAAAAGGGCAUCAUAGAGGGUGACAAUCCCGUCUUUGGCACAGAUCACUUGCGCUUUUGUGAUGCGCUCUCGAUGAGUCGAGUUGUUUGGGAAUGCAGCUCYAAAUGGGUGGUAAAUUCCAUCUAAAGCUAAAUAUGGGCGAGAAACCGAUAGCGAACAAGUACCGUGAGGGAAAGAUGAAAAGCACUUUGAAAAGAGAGUCAAACAGUAUGUGAAAUUGUUGAAAGGGAAACGCUUGAAGUCAGUCGUAUCCUUCAGAAAUCAACCUGACCUUUGGCUGGGUGCAUUUUUUGUUGGAUGGGUCAGCAUCAAUUUUGAUCAUUGGAUAAAGGACUUGGGAAUGUGGCAUCUUUGGAUGUGUUAUAGCCUCUGUUUGUAUACAAUGAUUGGGAUUGAGGAACUCAGUGUGACUUUGGUUUGGAGGUAUUGCACCUCACACACGCACUUAGGAUGCUGGCAUAAUGGCUUUAAUCGACCCGUCUUGAAACACGGACCAAGGAGUCUAACAUGCAUGCGAGUGUUUGGGUGGAAAACUCAAGCGCGCAAUGAAAGUGAAAGUUGAGAACCCCUUUGGGGUGCAUCGACGCCCGGACUUGAUCUUUUGUGACGGACCUGCGGUAGAGCAUGUAUGUUGGGACCCGAAGAUGGUGAACUAUGCCUGAUAGGUGAAGUCAGAGGAACUCUGAUGGAAGCUCGUAGCGAUCUGACGUGCAAUCGAUCGUCAAUUUGGGUAUAGGGCGAAGACUAAUCGACCAUCUAGUAGCUGGUCCGCG
rnacentral:rRNA from 1 species